CCACAUCUGGGUUGUACUCAAGAUCCCUCUCUGGAUCAUCUUCUACUUCAAAAUACUUUCUCCCCUUCAGGUUCUUCCUCCUCAGCUUUUCCUCAGGGUCCUGAAAUGGUUAUUCAAUAACCAAUGAGACCACGUCUCAGCGAGUCCUACCCCCUACAACUCGAUUAGUAAACUAAUAUGCCAUACGGUUGCCUAAGCACAACACGAGUCAGAGGACUUACCUUAGCCUCAGUUCCAACCUGCAAUUCAAGGUUAAACACAUACAUUCAAACAAUUCACGACAUCCGAUCAAGCACUGGUCAAUCGACUAAGUCGAUUACAUGUCAAUUAGACCCUCUCUAGGUCAUUCCCACUCAUACCACGCUUUCUCAGUGGUGCACUCAUUCACCAAAUCACAUGUGUUUCUCGGGCGUCGUUUUCGCCAAUGACAUACCGAUCACCGACACCGUGCGUUCUUUAAGGGCGCGUUUGGUAACGAUUCUGUUCCCGGGAGCUGAUUCUGAUCAGAACUGAUUCUUUUUGAUUCUGUUCCCGGGAACUGAUUCUGAGUAAAAACACGUGUUUGGUAACUGUUCAAAAUUUUUGAUUCUUGAAUAGAAUUGCGUUUGGUACCGUAUUAAUUGAUUCUGUUCCAAAUUUAAUUUCUUUUGAUUUUUAAAAUAAAUUUUAAAUAAUUUCUUUACUUUUUUUUACUUUUUUCCUUUUUUUUUCUUUAUCUUUUUUCUUUUUUUCCCCCUUUUUUCCANNNNNNNNNNNNNNNNNNNNNNNNNNNNNNNNNNNNNNNNNNNNNNNNNNNNNNNNNNNNNNNNNNNNNNNNNNNNNNNNNNNNNNNNNNNNNNNNNNNNGUCGCGCGACGGAACAGGAGCGGCGGUGCUGGUGCAGUUGGCCCGCGGAGCGCUUCGUGGGUCCGAACGGUGGCGCGGCUGCAGGUGGAGCAGAGAGCAGAUCUCCGGUGAGGCUCGGCGUCGUGGUGGUGCGGCUGAUUUGGGGCUCCGGUAGCGUCGGGUCGCGAUUGGGUGCAGGGAUGGCGGAGCAGGCGGAGGUAGAGGGGCGUAGAGCUGCAGAGGGAGGCGGAGUGCGGAGACCAGCAGAGCGAGGCGGGCUGCUGCGAGGCGGUGGCGCGGCAGAGCGAGCAGUACCGGAAGCUUCACGGGCCGCGGUGAUUGGCGCAAGGCGUGCUGGUGGAGAUCUCGGACCUGCGGCGAUGUGGGGCGCCGGAGUGGCAGCGGUGUGGGGCUUCGCGGACGUGGAGUUCCGACGGCAAAUGCUGGUGGAGUUGAGCGGCGGUGCGAGCAGAGGAUCUUGGAGCGGCGGCGAUGUGGGGGCGCAGGAGCGGCGGCAGCAGUCUUGGCAGCGCGGAGGAAAUGGGCAGCAGGGAUAGAAACUCACGAGGAAGAUGAACAGUAGUCUUAUCUUUUUGCCCCCUUUUUUUUUUACUUUCUCUCACCUGACAUUCUUUCUCACCUGUCUCUCUCUCUGCCGAUCCCUCAGACGUCUCCCUCUUACUUUUCUGUUUUUCCUCACGUCAUCUCUCUCUGUAUCUUCUCUUCUCUCCACCUUUUUUCUUUUGACUUUUCUCCUUACCGAAACUCUCUUUUCUUUUGUGAAUUUUUUUGAAAACCAAAUGAAGGGGCCCCCCUUUCAACGUCUCGCCCUCUCUAUUUAUAAAAGAAAGACUUGAGUUCGUUUUUUUUGCGGACGAAGAUUUUCCGAUAUACUUGCACAUCUUUCUCAACAACAAAGUGGCUCCAAAACAUUUGGUUGUUGAGUUUUUGAAUUCAAAUUUAUUUUUUUAAAUUUCCCUCUAAUCAAAGAUUAUUUUUUAUUUCUAUUUUCUAAAUUUAAAUUAAGUGUCAACAGCUGCCUCUCUUUGAAGGGAAGCUCAUAGAGGUUUCCUUCAAAGAUAAAUGACACAUAAGUUUAGACCAUACAAAAUGAAUGCAAAAUGAAUAUGAAUAUGCAAAUGUUAAUUGUAAUGACCUUUUUUUUCUUUUUCUUUUUUAAGAAAUGGACUCAAAUAAAUGCAAGGUCAUGCAAUAAAUAAUGCCAUGUAAAUGCAAUGAUUUGGUCAAUAACAUAUAUUUCUAUGUGUCCAUACUUAAUGAAAUGCAAAUGCAAAGAAGAACACGUACCUAACAUACUUAUCUGGAGAUUCAGAAAAGUAUUAUUAGGUGUGAAAUGAUUCCUAUGAGACCUGACAAACAUCUGGAAAUCUCUUCAGAUAAUUGAAAGGCUCAAAGUCUUUAGAAAUCUGGAACUCUCAUUAGAUCCCAAGCACCUGGAAUAACCUACCUUCAAGAAGGAUAGAGUAGUUCUAGGCAGUUGGUGUUACAUGUCCAGGACCCGUACCAUUCUAUGGUCGCCUAGAAUAGUAACAUGACUUUGCAAAAAGACUGCUUUCCUAGGACCCAUACCAUUCUACGGUCGCCCAGUAUGACAACGUUUGGUUGUGUCUAGGACCCGUACCAUUCUACGAUCGCCCAAACGAAGAUUUACCUUCCAGGACCCAUACCAUUCUACGGUCGCCCGAAUAGGGAAAUAUAUGUUGUCUAGGACCCGUACCAUUCUACGGUCGCCUAAACGAGGGUUUACCUUUCAGGACCCGUACCAUUCUACGGUCGCCUAAACGAGGUUUUGCUUGGCUAGGACCCGAACCAUUCUUCGGUCGCCUAGCCUUGCAACAGAGAUCAACUGACCAUGACCCGAACCGUUCAUCGGUCGCCUUUAAUCAGAUUGAAUCUGAAGAAAAAUCUUUGGGGGAUUUAGGACUCUCAUCAAAUCCCAAGCACUUGGAAAUUGCAUCAAGUACUUAAAAAUUCUAAACAUCUGGAAAUCACAUUAGACGUUUGGAAAGACAAACACUCGAAAGUCACAUCAAGCAUUUAAGGGUUCAAAUAUCUGGAAUUCAAACGAGACAUUUGAAAACAUUUUACAAAAUCAGGGCUUCAAAGACAAAUCCUUUGGUCUUUGAGGAAACAUUCAUUUCAUUUUCAAUUUUUUUUUUUUAAAUUCAAUGAAGGUCCAUACAUGAUGGCUUUUUUCAAAACUUCCACAAGGAAAAUUUAUCAAGACAAUUUUCAUUGAGCUGUGAAUCUCUUGAACAUGCUAAAUGAGACACUUUUGGUGUGAAAAACUAUUUCACUUACUCUCAUUUAGGAGGGGUUAUUUGUCCCGACCAUAUAUCACUCAAUCUUAUCAUCAUCUUGUCGACAAGAGUUCGAAUUUUCUCGCAAGCAGUACGACCUUACCAAUCUGAGAGGUCUUUGACAAGGAUUGUAAUGUGGGUUUGGUCAAUGGCUUAGCAAAAGAUACUCUUUGAGUCAAGGCUAUUGAAAGAACAAUUCUGUAAUCAUCUCCGGGUUCACAAGUCAAGAACCCUGCAAAAUGAGAAAAAAAUUAUCUUGCUCGCACUUCUUCGAGCAAUGCUUAAAACAUAUGAAUUCCUAUGUUAAUUCAAGUGCCCUAAUCUGAAGAGACUUUAUAAGGGACGUAACAUAGGCUGGGUUCAUGGAUUGAGAAACGAAAGGAUCGUUAGGCUCAAAGAUGUGUGUAAUGGGUAAGAGUUGGUGAUCAUCUUAACAUUACCACUAGUUUUCUUCGCCACUGAUUAUUUUCUUAACAUAUUUCUUUAUUGGCUCAGGAGUUUAUCACCGAUGCCAAUGAUUAUUCAACUGGAGAUCUUUUCUCAAAAUCAUUUUCUUUGAUGAUGGGCAUCGAUCAGGCACACCGCUCUUUUUUUUAUUAUGCCCCCAAUUCAUCAGUCAUUUCUCUUUUCUUUUCAUGGGCAUUGGCCUUGCUUUUACUAGGCACACUGCUUUUUCAUGCCCCUUAGUUCUAUUUUGAUUUCAGUUCUUGUACACAAUGCGUGUGUCAAGUAUACUUUAAACGACACUUCAAACCUUCAAGGGUCUUUAUCUGUCUCAUGCCUUGCCCCAGUGUGAGGGAUGAUCACCAAUUGGGUUUAAAGAAAUGAAAUUGCAGGCUCAAGUGGGCUAUGCAAAUGAUAUAAGUGUGUAGGAUAAUGAAAGAAACGCUCUUUGUCAUCCUAAGGCACUUAAAUUAUCACAUGAAUUCAAUGUAAUAGCAUGACUUAAAGAUUGAUGCAAGUGAGAGCAAGAAAAUUUCCAUUCAUUUCACUCUCCUUCAAUGUCAACUUACCUCCAUUUGCCCCGAUAUGAGGGUGGUUCUUGACAGGGGUUGUAUGAAAGAAGUUCUUCAAGUGUUUAGGCUCAAAGAAGGAUUAAACAAGGGUUCAUUGUAGAGAAAUGAACUGCCCCUCGUCAUUUUAGUUGUCGUACUUCUUGCAAGAAAACCCUUCACCUUGAAACACAAAACGUUUCCAUACUCACCUCACAAUGUAUAAACAAGGGAUUGUGUAUGGGAUAAGGUUUGCCUUUCACACCUCAUUUAGCAUGUUCAAGUAACUCGACAUCUUUCAUUGAAUUAUCCAUUUUGAUAAAUUUCAAGUGGAAUUGACAAAUUGCAUAAUAUCAUGUGAAAGCAUUCUAUAAUGACAAAAAGGCUAUGCUCUAUUCUUGCACAUCAAAUCAUAAAGUCAAAGCUGUUAAGUGUCUAUGUCUUGCCCCUCUUUGCAAAGGGAGCUUAUAGAGGUUCCUUAAAUGUGCGCAGAGCUGCACCUGAAACAUAAAGCAAAUAAUUAAAAGAAACAAACAGGGUAAAUUAAAUGCAUGUUGGAAAAUUAUUUUAUUUUGAAAAAAUUUUCAAGGGAACAUGAAGAAGCCCAGCGUUCAGAAUUAGCUCCUUGCCGUUUUCUUUUGGGUAGGAUUUCAUCACCAGGCUAGUUUGGUGUACUUCAACAUGCCCUUAAAACACGAAAAUCUCCAUGUAUUUUAUUGGAUGAAAAGCAAAUUACAUUAUUGAAAUAAGGGAAAUCCUAGAAUUGAAAAUGCAAAUAUGCAAAUAUGGAAAGCAAUAAAGACUCUUGCGCAGAGGAGUGUGCAAAAAAUUAAAAUUCUCCUACUCUCGAGCUUUGUCGAUGGCAAACACUAAAUUAUCUUCAAACAAUUCAGUCAUUCCUUCGAGUGAGUCAUCAGAGCUCUCAAUCUUUGAAGGUGCGAGAUCAUCUAUGCCACCCCAUCCAUCUAGGAUGAUAUCCCAUGGGUCGAAAUAGGAGCUGGGAGGAGCCGAAUACUUUACAUAGUAAUCGAAUUUGCCACUUGGUUGCCCCAGGGUGUCCAUCACUUCUGCUUCCUCAUGCAUCAUCUGAAACAUGGUGGGCUCAGCAUCAAAACCGAAAAUGGCAUUCACAGCUUCUGGGUGGUUAGGGAGUGGGUUAUUCUGGAUGUUCGGCUGUGCAUCGCGGAAUGAGACCACGUUGGCAUCCAAAAGAUUUUGGAUUUUAUGUUGCAGCGUAUAGCAAUCGUCAACAGAAUGCCCUACCUCUCCCAUAUGAUAAGCACAUGUCUUGGACGGAUCAUAGUUGGGGAAUCGCUCGGGAUUAGGUCGCUUAGGCUCCUUAGCGAGUAAUCAUUUCUUUUGAAGGGUUGGCAAGAUCUUUGACAAUGGCUUAGGAAGCGGCGUAAAUUGACGCCUAGAAGAGUUCUUCUGUUGGCCAAAGAAUGGUCGUGCUCCUCCCUAGUGGGUGUUCGGGGUAAGGCGAGGUGGUUGCACAUAAGCUGCAUUAACCUCCGCUACAAGUUCCUUAUCCUUCUUGAUUGAGACUCUCCCAUAUGAGCUGGUUUGAUCAAACGCCCAUCCAUCACACAAUGCUACUUCAAUUCGCUCGCCAACAGGAAUUAGCUGAUUGAAUGACUCGGCAGUCGAUCAUAACAUCCGAUUUCGAUAUUCAGGCGGGAGAGUCUUCAUGAACAAAUCCAUCAACUCUUUUUCUGUUGGCUCCGGAGUAAUCUGAGCAGCUACGGUCCUCCAUCUCGUGACAUAUGUCUUGAAAGAUACCGUCCUCUUCUUUUCAGUGCGAAGUAAGUCUUCUCGAGAUGGAGUGACAUCAAUAUUAUACUUAUAUUGCUUGAAGAAGGCAUCCGUUAAAUCCUCCAAAGUCUCCAGCAAAUUAAUCUUCUUCAUGAUGUACCAUUACAACGCCGGUCUUGUCAGGCUUGCUUGAAAUUGUUGAAUCAUCAAGGGGAUGUUAUCAACAUAUUGGGUCAUCCUGACCACAUAAGUUUGCAGAUGGAUCUUUGGGCAAGAUAUGCCAUCAUACUUUUCAAAAUCUGGCAUUUUGAACUUCUUUGGCAUCUUGAUUUUUGCAUAAUGGGACAGAUCAGUUGGGUCUUGGCUAAAUGAACCCUGCAGCUGCUUAAGUUUCUCCUCGAUUUUCGCUAAGCGUUUUUCUUGCUCAGUCUUCGGUACAAUCGGCUAUAUCACUUGUAUCUCCUCAUCAACAACAAUUUGAGGCGCGUCAGUAAUUUUAACCUUAGAGGCAUCAUGAGAGGAUGAUGGGCCACUUGUGGAUGUAUUCUUGCCUUUAUCUCUUGGAUCAACCAUGGGAGCAUGUUGUGGUAACACCACUUCAACUUGUGGAGCUGGUGGAGCAGUGUUUGUCUGGAGAGAAUCGAUUUACUUAGAGAGCUGCUCAAGAACAUUCAGAACUUGCUUCAUCUCCGAUUCGAGGGCAGCGAUGUGAGUUUGCUCAGCAACACGUGUUUGUUCGGUGUUAUCAGCCAUUGUUGCUCUGGAUCGAGUACGGAUUGGUGAUCUUAGAUGAGCCAUAUUGUUACCUAAAAAAGAGAAAAGAGAUAAUGUAAGAAACGAUGACAAUAUAGGAAAAUGGCCCAUGACAAUGGUCUAAUCGCCUCAUUUUAUUUACAAUUUCAAUAAAAUUUUCUAACUAAGAAUUGAAAUUCAAGUCCCUAAACAUUGAACUUAAAAUUGAAAGCACUGAAUUGAAAUCAAGGUCUCUAAACAUUGAACUAAGAAACCAAAACAUCUCAUUUUAUAUGUUUUUGAGAGUGGAAAUGAAUUGCAAAUCGAUUUUCCCCAUCACAUAUAAAACAAGAUGGACAACGAAACCUAAUGUCAUGGACCAAUGAAAUUGCAAAUAAGUAAAUUGCAGUAGUGACAACUUACUUUCACUAGUAAUGGAUGACAAUCACAUAGACACACGCAUGAGAUGUGAGGCUCAAUUUCUAUCUAGAUGGCUUAACAAAAUGGAGCUAAGAGGAUGAUAUGACCGUUGCAGUCUCGCAUUAACGUGUCAGGUCCUCCUAACCCCGGCUUAGUCGAAUGGAAUGUCUAAUAUCACGCAAUCUCGCGGAUAUGGACAAACACAUUUGACACCAUGAAGAACUUUCGGAGAAUAGAAGGUCAACCUCUAUAUAGCAGUCUCGCUUUAGAGGGAGUAUCAUUCUCAACACCAUCCUAGGAAUCCCCAGGUCCGGCAGCAGGUUGUGUGUGCAAUAGUGUAGUGUUAAAAACAAUAAAACAUGCACAAUAGUUUAAUUGCAAACAACACUUCUAUAAUUUAAAUUCAACCAUUCAUCCUUAACUCCAACCUACAAAACAAGGGUUAGCAAAGACUACUCUCCUUAUACCUCCCAUCUGCAAAAACAUUUAACAUUUCAUGUUAGAAGCGUACCUUGUUUCCAUGCUGCCAAAUAAAAUAUUUUUCUUAAUAAAACAGGCCUAUGUCCACUAUGAGUUUUAACUCUGUCCCCAGCGGAGUCGCCAAGCUGUCGCGACCUAAAAUUUUCAGGGCAAUCCUAAAGUUUAGGUUAAUGGAUUACUAAGUCUGAAGACUUGGCGCUGACCCUCCCAAGUCCUGCCAAUCACGACUUGAUAGAAAUUAAUCUAUUUAAACAUGCAAUUCUAUUCAAUUUGGAGCCGCCACUAAUCAAUUAGGGUUGAUUAGAAACCCAAAUAAAGUACGAGAGAAUACUUUAUUUUUAUGAACCAGAGAUUCAAUAAGUCCGGGGACAUGGUUACGCUAAAUUAGUCUAACGUCCUUUCGGUACCUUUUAUUUUAAUUUUUAAAAAUAUUUUGCAAGCAAUGUUGAUUAAUUAAUUUAAGCUACUAACAUGCAAAUGGUGGUCAUGCGGGUGCACAAUCAAUAAAAUAACAUUCAAAUAAAAAAUGCUAAUAAAAAUGCAUGUCCUAAACAUGAUUUCUAAAUAAUAUGAUACCUAAUUAUCUUUUUCUUUUUCUUUUAAAAAAUGUUAAUUAUAUGCAAUCUUAAUUUAACUUAAUAUGUAUGAAUUUAUUUUAAUGACAUGCGAGAUGCAAUUCAUAUGAUAUGACUUAAACUUAUCACUAUAUAUAUGCAAAUCUAAUUUAUAUAAUCUUAAAUAUGCAUGUGCUACGUGAUAUGGGAUGAAUGACAUGGUAUUUCUAUACGCAUGCUCUUUUAUGAUUUUUUUUUUUUAUGAUGAUUCAUUUUUUUAUGCAUAUAUGCAACCUAUGCUAAAUAAUGAUGAUAUGAGAUUAAUUAUGGAUUAACCUAUUAACUAACCAAGGAAAUGAUAUUUUUUAUUUUUUAUUUUUUAAUGACAUAAUGUUUUUUAUUGGAAAGAAAGUAACUUAAUGGUGCAAUGAUCAUCUUUUAGCAUUUUCUUUUUUUAUUAAAAAAACAAUUAAACUAUAACUCAUAUGGCAUGCAUAACAUGUUUUGUUCUUCUUUUUGUUUUACUAAAUGAAAAUCGACUUAAUCUAAAAAUAUCUAGGUGUAUUGCUUUAAUAUGAAAUGUGCAUGGACCUAAGUACUUAAAUUCUAGAUAUGACAAUAUUUUAUUAAUAAAAAAAUUCUAAUUGAACCUAUUAUGCAAAUUAAUUAAUAUGUACCUAAUAUUUUUUUGAUUUUUUUAUUGAAAUUCGAAAUUAAAACUAAUUAGACUAACUAAAGUGAAUGAUAUUCUAAUUUAUUUUAGGAAUCAAUUUAACUUAAGCUAUAUCUUAUCUUAAAAAACUAUAUCAUGACAUGCCAACAUUAUUUAAAAUUAGCCCUAACAAAAAUCACCCAUCUAAAAGUAUAAUCUAAAAGUUAUAAUCGUAUAAAUGAAAUUCUAAUUUACUAACCCUAAAACUAUAGUCCUAUUUUACUAAACCUAAAUGCUCAUAUGCAAUAUUUAGAUUUUUAUGCAUUUUCUGAUUUUUUUUUUUUUUUUUUUUUUUUUAAUCUUUCCAAACAAGUAAUUAUUUAAAAGAAUGAAUAUAAGAAUUAAAAUAACUGAAGAAAUAAUCUGUUGUCUCACGGAUUAAAUUAACAAUUAUUUUAACUCUAAUAUUUUAACAAUUGAAAUACUAUCAAAAUUCCUAAAAAUUAAAGUAAUUAAAAAAAUGACCUGACGUCUUACAGGUCAAAUUAAUAAUUACCUUAAUUUGGGAUAAAACUCCUAAUGUCUACAAGGUCUACAAAUAUUGACAUACAAUACUACAAUUCAAAUAAUUAAACUUAAAAAAUAAGCUAACAUAACAUGAAAUAAGUAAAAAAAGAAUAUACUACCUAAUUUCUUUUCUUUUUUCUUUUGUUUUUUCCUUUCUCUUUUCCAGCUUUCUUCACCCACUGCUGAGCGGCUUCGGUAGAUCACCGGGGGUUAGGUCGUCGGCUUUCAGAGCUCUGGCAAAGGGAAGCAGCGGACCGGCAGCAGGAGCAAACGUUAGGUCGUCGCGGGUCGGCCGUGGGCGUCGUCGGAGAGCACGUGGAGCCGGCGAUCGGGGGCCGCGAGCAACGAACGUGGAAGGCCGGGGUCUGGGCGCUGCAGAGGCAGGUCGCGCGGCGGAACAGGAGCGGCGGUGCUGGUGCAGUUGGCCGCGGAGCGCUUCGUGGGUCCGAACGGUGGCGCGGCUGCAGGUGGAGCAGAGAGCAGAUCUCCGGUGAGGCUCGGCGUCGUGGUGGUGCGGCUGAUUUGGGGCUCCGGUAGCGUCGGGUCGCGAUUGGGUGCAGGGAUGGCGGAGCAGGCGGAGGUAGAGGGGCGUAGAGCUGCAGAGGGAGGCGGAGUGCGGAGACCAGCAGAGCGAGGCGGGCUGCUGCGAGGCGGUGGCGCGGCAGAGCGAGCAGUACCGGAAGCUUCACGGGCCGCGGUGAUUGGCGCAAGGCGUGCUGGUGGAGAUCUCGGACCGGCGGCGAUGUGGGGCGCCGGAGCGGCAGCGGUGUGGGGCUUCACGGACGUGGAGUUCCGGCGGCAAAUGCUGGUGGAGUUGAGCGACGGUGCGAGCAGAGGAUCUUGGAGCGGCGGCGAUGUGGGGGCGCAGGAGCGGCGGCAGCAGUCUUGGCAGCGCGGAGGAAAUGGGCAGCAGGGAUAGAAACUCACGAGGAAGAUGAACAGUAGUCUUAUCUUUUUGCCCCCUUUUUUUUUUACUUUCUCUCACCUGACAUUCUUUCUCACCUGUCUCUCUCUCUGCCGAUCCCUCAGACGUCUCCCUCUUACUUUUCUGCUUUUCCUCACGUCAUCUCUCUCUGUAUCUUCUCUUCUCUCCACCUUUUUUCUUGACUUUUCUCCUUACCGAAACUCUCUUUUCUUUUGUGAAUUUUUUUGAAAACCAAAUGAAGGAGCCCCCCUUUCAACGUCUCGCCCUCUCUAUUUAUAAAAGAAAGACUUGAGUUUGUUUUUUUUGCGGAUGAAGAUUUUCCGAUAUACUUGCACAUCUUUCUCAACAACAAAGUGGUUCCAAAACAUUUGGCUGUUGAGUUUUUGAAUUUUUUUUUUUUAAUUUCCCUCUAAUCAAAGAUUAUUUUUUAUUUCUAUUUUCUAAAUUUAAAUUAGGUGUCAACAAGGUUCCAUUGCAUCAAGCUUUGAUGGCAUGGCAAGCUUGACAUACGUUGACAUAUCGUACAAUGAUCUAGAGGGUGCCUUACCAAACAUUCUAGCAUUUCAUAAUGCUACAAUUGAAGUUGUGAGAGGAAACAAAGGCUUGUGUGGAGUUAUUGCUACUCUUAAUCCUUGUACAACAACAACGUCGAAAGGCAAAAACAAAAGCAAAAAGUUCCUCCUAAUUUUGAUUCCCACUUUUGGUUGCUUACUCUCUUUGCUUCUUAUCGUGGGAGCUUCAAGUAUCGUAUGCCGAAGAGUAAGGAAAACAGAGGCUAGUUUGACUAAUGGAAGCAAUGAAAACCCAUGGGCAAUAUUGAGCUUUGAUGGAAAGAUGGCCUAUGAGAACAUUCUUGAAGCUACGGAGGAGUUUGAUGCCAAAUAUUGCAUCGGUGUGGCAGGACAUGGGAGUGUUUACAAGGCCCAAUUGCAAACAAGUGAGAUAGUUGCUGUAAAGAAACUUAAGGAAGUAGUGGAUGUUGAAAUUGCCAGUUGAAAAGCAUUUGAAAGGGAGAUUCAUGCUUUGACUGAAGCUCGGCACUGCAAUAUCAUCAAGCUCUAUGGCUUUUGCUUGAGUUCUCAACAUUCAUUUCUGGUGUACGAGUUCUUGGAAUGUGGUAACUUGAAGGAUGUAUUGAAUAAUGAAGAGAGGAUAACAACAUUUGACUGGAACAAGAGAGUGAAUGUGGUUAAAGGUGUGGCUAAUGCUUUGUGCUACAUGCACCAUGAAUGCUCUCCUCCUAUAAUUCAUCGAGAUAUAUCAAGCAAGAACAUUUUACUGGAUGAAGAAUACGAAGCUCAUGUCUCUGAUUUUGUCACGGCUAAGGUUCUAAAACCUUAUUCAUCCAAUUGGACUUCCUUUGCAGGCACCUUUGGAUAUGUAGCUCCAGGUAAGUUGGUUUCUUCCGAAAUCUCACCCACUUCAUUUUAUAGAUAUGAAAAUGCUAUGCAAGAUCAUCAUACUUACGUGCCUUGCUUUUAAAGUCUAAUUACCUAACGUGAAAUUCAAAAUUAUUCACACGGUUUGAAGGUCAACGAGAUUUAGACCCAUCAGUUAAUAAACUGAAACUUUUCCCUAAAUAAAUGAAAAUUUUAAUAACCCAAUGAGAUCUAGAGUAUGCAUUGAUUUAUAGUAGAUUUGAUUAAUACAAAAUCAGCUUAGAUUGAUGGAGCAUGGAUACUGUAUAAAAGCUAGAAAAAUUCUGGUCUUUUCUCUAUGUAGAACUCGCGUACACUAUGGAAGUGAACAAAAAAUGCGAUGUUUAUAGCUUUGGAGUGAUGACAUUGGAAGUAAUCAUGGGAAAACAUCCGGGAGAUCUCAUAUCGUCUCUUAUGUCCUCAUCUUCAUCAUCCUCGCACCAUUCAACAGACUCUUGGCCACUUGAAAGAAGUUUUAGAUCAAAGAAUUCCAUACCCAAAAGGUGAUGUGCUAGGGGAAAUGGCAUUUGUGACAAAGAUGGCAUUUUCGUGCUUAAGUCCCAAACCAGAGUAUCGUUUGAGCAUGCAACAAGUUUCUCGAGCGAUGUCGACACAUAGCUCAAUCGUGUUGACCACACCGGAGGACAUCAAAUUGGAAGAACUAGUUGGUCCUACAUGCUUCACUUAUUGAGAUAUUUUAGCAAGCUGUCUCUUGUAUUAUAUAUAUCUUAGUCAACUUCAUUAUAAAUCGUUGCAAUAUUUCAUUAAUUACUCCAAAACACUUAGGGAUCACUACCAUUUGCUUGUCACAAUACUUCUUUCUUGUAAUGUAUAAUCGCAAAGCAAAAGUUGAUACACUCAAAGUUGCUAGAGCACAAUUGGUAUAAGCUGGCAUCAGGCUUUAUGAAUGUCUACCAAGUCAUAAAUAAAGAAAACUCAAAUGCAGAUUAGAGUUAUGAUUUGCUUAGAUCAAUUAGNNNNNNNNNNNNNNNNNNNNNNNNNNNNNNNNNNNNNNNNNNNNNNNNNNNNNNNNNNNNNNNNNNNNNNNNNNNNNNNNNNNNNNNNNNNNNNNNNNNNAUCUUGCCCACCUUGACGUCGGUGGCCAGGGCGGCCUCGCCGGUGCUGGGCGAGGCCGGCCUGGCCACCGGCGAGGCUGGGCCUCGCCAGAUCUGGCGAGGCCGAGCCUCGCCGGUGGCUGGGCUUGCCUCCGGCGAGCUCGCCGGACCUCGCCCUGGCCUGGCGAGCCUCCGGCGAUCUCGCCGGACCGGCGGCCGGCGGCGGACCGGCGGCGGCAGCGGGCGGCGGCAGGCGGCGGCGGACGGCGGCGGACGGCGGCGGGCGAUGGCGAAUGGCAACCGAGAUGUUGAAAGAGAAAGACAAGGUUUUAUUGUUUUGAUUCUUUUUUCUGAUUCUCGGACGAGAAUCAAAUUUUUUUUUAUUCUCAAAUCUUGUCCAAAAUUGUUCCCGGGAACAAAAAAUUUACCAAACGCGAUUCUCGUCCCAAACUGAUUCUGGGAACAAAAAAUCAGAAUCUGGCACUGUUGGGCAAGUUGCCAAACAGGCCCUAAGGCGCCGUUUUCACCAGUGAUAACCUUGAUCACCGAACCACGUGUCCUUUCAAGGGCGCCGUUUUCGCCAAGGUGACAUCAGCUAUAGACAACAUCAUGCGUUCUUUAAGGCGCCGUUUUCACAAGUGAUAUUCCCAUAACCACCGAACCACGUUUGUCUAUAAGUCAUUUACGUGCGUUCUUUAAGGCGCCGUUUUCGCCAGUGAUACUUCCAAUCACCGAACCACGUUUGUCCAAUAAUAUCGUACAUGAUUGGUCUCACCAUUCUCCCUACUAUAUAGCCCAUCAAUGUAUUGGCGCUAUAUACCCAUGCUUGGCCAUUACCAAUCAAAUAUUCAAUAACAAACAAUUUAGGACAAUUCCUAAAAUUCCACAAUAAAUUCAAUUCCACACAACGUAGAGCUCAAAUAAAUAAAUGGGCUGCACCACGACAAUCAGCACGAAAUUCCGGUCACCGGCCAUCCCGAUUGAAUUUCCGGAAAAAUAAUUAAUUAAAUAAUUAAUUUCGAAAAUUAAAUAAAUAAAUAUUAAAAAUCCAAUUUAGGCCCAUAUUGCCUGAUUGGAGCCCGAAACGGGUCGGGAAAAAUCCCGAGAUGCAUUCAAUAAAUAACCAAACAUUUCUACUUGCUAAUAGCUAGGUCUAACCACCUAACAUGCAUCAUUAAGUCACUAAAUUAAUUGUUCUAACCUAAUCUAACCACCUAAGUGCAUGUAAUUAAAUCUAACCAACCCUAAGACAUAAUUAGCAAACUAAUAAAGCAUUAGUGAGUAAAACUCACUUGACAAAAGCGGAGACCGAAUCACCGCAACGGCGACGCAACGGCGGCCGAAAUAGAACUUUCGACGACACCGGCGGACUUGGACCGGGCCUUGGACUUGGCCCAACAAAUCUCAGCCCAAAUGAGAUUUGUUCUUGCACUGGAAUGGGGCUUGCUCUUGGACUUGGGCCUAGCUGCGAUUGGGCUUCAAAAACUGGGCUUGAAGACUACAAUAGCUGAAAAUGGGUUUGGAAUAAAACUGAAUUGGGCCUGUCUUUUGCUGGGCCCAAAAGACUGAAAUUACUGGGCUUCUAAUCUAAUUUAUGCUGGGCUA
rnacentral:lncRNA from 1 species